AUUGAACGCUGGCGGCAGGCCUAACACAUGCAAGUCGAACGAGUGGCGGACGGGUGAGUAAUGACUGGGAAACUGCCUGAUGGAGGGGGAUAACUACUGGAAACGGUAGCUAAUACCGCAUACCAUCAGAUGUGCCCAGAUGGGCUUAGCUUGUUGGUGGGGUAACGGCUCACCAAGGCGACGAUCCCUAGCUGGUCUGAGAGGAUGACCAGUUACACUGGAACUGAGACAGGUAACAGACUCGUACGGGAGGCAGCAGUGAGGAAUAUUGCACAAUGGGCACAAGCCUGAUCCGGGCAGGCCGCGGGUAUGAAGAAGGCCUUCGGGAUAUAAAGUACUUUCAGCGCAGAAGCGUUACCCACAGAAGAAGCACCGGCUAACUGCGGGCCAGCGGCCACGGUAAUAC
rnacentral:rRNA from 1 species